AAUAUUGGACAAUGUGCGAAAGCCUGAUCCAGCCAUGCCGCGUGUGUGAAGACGGUCUUCGGAUUGUAAAGCACUUUAAGUUCGGCGGUAGAGUUCUCGGCUAAUACCUUGCAAUUUCGACGUUACCAACAGAAUAAGCACCGGCUAACUUCGUGCCAGCAGCCGCGGUAAUACGAAGGGUGCAAGCGUUAAUCGGAAUUACUGGGCGUAAAGCGCGCGUAGGUGGUUCGUUAAGUUGGAAGUGAAAGCCCCGGGCUUAACCUGGGAAUUGCUUUCAAAACUGACGAGCUAGAGUACGGUAGAGGGUAGUGGAAUUUCCUGUGUAGCGGUGAAAUGCGUAGAUAUAGGAAGGAACAUCAGUGGCGAAGGCGACUACCUGGACUGAUACUGACACUGAGGUGCGAAAGCGUGGGGAGCAAACAGG
rnacentral:rRNA from 1 species